rnacentral:rRNA from 1 species
UACAGAGGUCUCAAGCGUUGUUCGGAUUCAUUGGGCGUAAAGGGUGCGUAGGCGGAUCUUUAAGUCGGGGGUGAAAUCCUGGAGCUCAACUCCAGAACUGCCUUCGAUACUGGCGAUCUCGAGUCCGGAAGAGGUGAGUGGAACUCCUAGUGUAGAGGUGGAAUUCGUAGAUAUUAGGAAGAACACCGGUGGCGAAGGCAGCUCACUGGUCCGAUACUGACGCUGAGGUGCGAAAGCGUGGGGAGCAAACAGG